rnacentral:rRNA from 1 species
GACGAACGCUGGCGGCGUGCCUAAUACAUGCAAGUAGAACGCUGAAGAGAGGAGCUUACUCUUCUUGGGUGAGUUGCGAACGGGUGAGUAACGCGUAGGUAACCUGCCUUGUAGCGGGGGAUAACUAUUGGAAACGAUAGCUAAUACCGCAUAACAAUGGAUGACACAUGUCAUUUAUUUGAAAGGGGCAAUUGCUCCACUACAAGAUGGACCUGCGUUGUAUUAGCUAGUAGGUGAGGUAAUGGCUCACCUAGGCGACGAUACAUAGCCGACCUGAGAGGGUGAUCGGCCACACUGGGAAUGAGACCAGGCCCAGACUCCUAAGGGAGGCAGCAGUAGGGAAUCUUCGGACAUGGGGGCAACCCUGACCGAGCAAAGCCGCGUGAGUGAAGAAGGUUUUCGGAUCGUAAAGCUCUGUUGUAAGUCAAGAACGGGUGUGAGAGUGGAAAGUUCACACUGUGACGGUAGCUUACCAGAAAGGGACGGCUAACUACGUG